UUGUGUUUCCUGGAAAAGCCACUCCCUUUUGAGAGUCAAGCCCAGGGAGUGUCAACCACUAACUGCCACCUCACAGGCCCGGACCCUGCUCUCCCACCCUGCCUGGUUGGCCCUGUCCCACCACGGCCCUGCGGGAGAGGACCUGUGGGGCCAGGGGAUGGCAGCACUUCCCAUUCUGUGGGGCUGGGUGCUCGUGGCUGCUGUCAGGACAGGGGCCACUUCAAGCUUGAUGGAGCAAAGGCCCAAGUGGGCCCUGGUGCGACUCGGACGGGCUGAAAUGCUGCAGUGCUUUCUGAAGGAUACCCAGUACCCCUAUAUGAGCUGGUACCAACAGGAUCUCCAGGGGCAACUCCAGGUGCUGGCCACUCUGAGGUUUUCUGGGGACAAGGAGGUCGUAUCCCUUCCUGGAGCGGAUUACCAGAUCGUGCGUGUGGAUGACAAGGAGCUGAGGCUGCAUGUGGCCAAUGUGACACAGGGCAGAACCCUGUACUGCAGCUGUAGCACAGACACAGUCCUCCCUUCUGGCCUCUUUACUGCACGUGGACUCAGCCAGCAUCAUAGCACAGGGGUGGCCCACAGGCUCUGGAAGACUCGCCUGCAGGCCUUGGCUCUGUCAUCUGUGAGCUGUGGGGAAGACAUCCUCGUUCUGAAACUUAGUUUCUGA